CUGCCUUGUGCUUCUCUUCCAUGUACUUAGCUAUGGCGUAUGGACUUGAUCCACCACUCUUCUCGUUCAAGGCCAACAGAGCCUCCUUGAUCAUCUGAAAGUAUGGAGGAUGAGAAGCAGUUUUGGGUUGUUUCGGCUUCUUCUCCUUAGGAACCCUGGGUUUCUUCUCCUUCACCGGCUUCUCAGUCGGCUUGGUGUCCUCUUCCGUCGCAGGCGCCCCCACAACAGCAGCAGCAGCAACUUCAGGUUCUUUAUCAUCAACCAUUUCGAAUCACAAAUACAGAACAAAGAAAGAGAGAGAGAUCUCAGAAUUGCUUCUCC
rnacentral:misc_RNA from 1 species